rnacentral:rRNA from 1 species
GUGGGGAAUCUUAGACAAUGGGGGAAACCCUGAUCUAGCCAUGCCGCGUGAGCGAUGAAGGCCUUAGGGUUGUAAAGCUCUUUCAGCUGGGAAGAUAAUGACGGUACCAGCAGAAGAAGCCCCGGCUAACUCCGUGCCAGCAGCCGCGGUAAUACGGAGGGGGCUAGCGUUGUUCGGAAUUACUGGGCGUAAAGCGCGCGUAGGCGGACCAGAAAGUUGGAGGUGAAAUCCCAGGGCUCAACCUUGGAACUGCCUUCAAAACUCCUGGUCUGGAGUUCGAGAGAGGUGAGUGGAAUUCCGAGUGUAGAGGUGAAAUUCGUAGAUAUUCGGAGGAACACCAGUGGCGAAGGCGGCUCACUGGCUCGAUACUGACGCUGAGGUGCGAAAGCGUGGGGAGCAAACAGGAUUAGAUACCCUAGUCC